GAAGGAUGUGCCUGGGGGGCCAGGCUGCGGGAAUGAUGUAUCCUGGCAGCAAAUGGGGGCUGAGGACUGAUGCUCAGUUUGAAGCUGGUUCCGUUCUGUGCUGGGUUGAAAAAUUCCAUCGUCCACUGUAAAUCUUGAGUGUAUCAAUGUGGUGUUAAGGAGAUGGGGACAAGGGACGGACUCCAUGUUGGAGCUGACACAAAGCAGGGAAGGGCUGAUUUGCAGAGAGGAGAGCAUUUGCUGAGAGCAAAUGUCACACCACCAUCUCCCAGCCACUUGCUUGGCCAAUCUCUUUGGAGAUAGGGGGGAGGGAAGUGAAAUCUCCACAUUACAAGGAUUUGUUGUAUGAAUGGGACCUUUUUACUUGGGUACAAAGAAGAACAUAAUCCUGGAAAGUGCAAGGACCCAGGGCUAAUGAUAAAGCAGGUAUUUGGGUUGUACUCAGGCACUUGGAAAUAUGUGUUGGGGUGGCUCACAGCUGGGCUCUGGAGUGAGAAGCAUCUAGAUUUUGUGAUGUGACAUUGUCUUGGGCUGCAGUUUCAUUUCCUGUAACUCACAGAAUUGUUGGGUUCAUUAAGAAAUCUUACAAUGCCUUUUUGUUUUUUUUUUUUGGUCCUGGGGAUUGAACUCAGGAGCACUCGACCACUGACCCACAUCCCCAGCCCUAUUUUGUAUUUUAUUUAGACACAGGGUCUCACUGAGUUGCUUAGUGCCUCGCUUUUGCUGAGGCUGGCUUUGAUCCUCCUGCUUCAACCUCCCAAGCCGCUGGAAUUACAGGCGUGCACCAUGACACCCGGCUACAAUGCAAUUUUUUUUAAAAGAUAAAAUCAAACAUAUAUGCAUAUAUCAUUCAAACAGAACGAUUUUCAUAAUUUGUUUUGCUUCUUUUGGGUGCUGGGACUGAGACUCUCAUGCAUCCUUAGCAUAUGCUCUAUCACUGAGUUACACCCCUGGCGCCACGGUUCACAUUUUAUUUAUCUAAUUAACGAGGAACCAGCAAGGUGCUAUAUAUAGGCUGUUUAAAGGAGAACUGGAUUUAUAGAGGUUUACAUUCUCCAGGGGACAAGAUUCAUGCGCACUGCCUUGGUUAGGAAUCACAUGCAUCACCAAGAAGAGGAAGUGCCUAUAAUCCCUGCAACCCUGUGGGACCUGACACUGUCUUUACAGGAUGGCAUGAUGGCUCCUGUGGAAUCAGACAAUGCCCAGAGUACACUAGACAACAUCUAGAAUUCCAUCAAAGGGACACUAGGGAAGUUUUAGCCCAUUUAAAACCUCUCAUGAUUGUUCUAUUAAAUGGGAAGAUCCUAAUAAUCUCAAGAUCAUAAUAAUCUCCAAAAUUUGUUCUUGAUCACAAAAUGAUGGGUCUCAUUAGGUUUGGUCUGAAUACUUAGGGUGCAGCAAGAAAGUGUGUGACUCUAUAGGCCUCCUCGAGACUAUUUUCAAGUCUAGAGAGCUGUGUGACAGGCAGGCCCUGGAUAAGCUCUUCUAAAUGUUUGCAUGAGUUUGAAUUUUGGGUUAUGGUUUUGAUGCUGGAGAUGAAAUCUUGGAUGAUUUCUUCUCUUCUCAAAAUUCCCCAAAUUAAAUGAAGCUCCUGACCUGCAGAGAGCUAUCUUCUUUGCCACCUGUGAGACAGGGACUUUAAGUCAGGGGCCCGGGUAUUCUUCCUUGAGGGUUUUGUAGCAUUGAGUCAGUCUAUAAAGUGGCUCAUCAUACCACUUUAUGAUGAGAAUCCUUCCCAAUAUGACAUACUAAAUAUGGCCCUUAGGUGACGUGCAAUUAUGUACUAGUGAAAAGGGUAAUUUCUCAUUGAAUCUAUGAAAGUAACUAUAUUUCCAUGAAAAAGUUAAGGAGACUGAGUGAGUUUUGGAAUUCUGGGAGGUCAGUGAGAAUCAGAUAUCAUUGAAUUGAGUUUUUUUUUUUUUUUUUUUGUGGCACUGGGAUUGAACCCAGUGUUGUGGGGCAGCUUGCUUAGAAAACAUACCAAGUCCAGUUUUGUCCAAAUGGAAGAGUCUUUAUUUAUCUGGCCGGCUGGUAACUACUCCCCACAGGACCCAUAACUGUCUCUGCAAGGAACAGCCCCCAGCCUGAGCAUUUUAGGAUAUUUAAAGGCAAAAACCACAUCUGGGUUGACUUAGCUGCAAGCAAGCAGGUGCAGAAGCUGAAAUGGGCAGUCAGCGAGACAAUGCAAUGGGGACAUUGGUAUUUCCCUUGGGACUUUACAGGUUGGCAUAGCAGCAAGCAAGCAGAAGGGAAGGGGGUCAAAAUGAUCCUAGUUCAGUAUAAGUUAGAGAAAUGUUACUGAGGUCUAGAGGAUCAACCUCUGACAAAGUACAUUGCCCAAGAAAAAUGGAAACCAAAGAGAACAAUUUUACAUUGUAUAAGAAUUGCUAUUUUGUGUUGCCAAGUAUGUUAUGCUAGGUAACUAUUAAUGGGUACAGAGGCAGGGCUUUCCCAGGGGAGAAGCAUUUCUUACAUGACAUGGAGUCUGGGUAAAAUGGAGUCUGUUUGGUCAUUGCCCGUGUAGCCUUGCCCAUAACACUAGGUCCUUCCACAUGCUAGGCAAUUGCUCUGCCAUUGAACUACAUGCCCAGCCCUGGAUCCUGGGCAAAAGGCUGCCUUCAGGAAGCUGCUGCUCUGAACCGAGAGGACCUGGAAUCCUGGCUCCACCUGUGUGAAAGUGGCCUGAGUGAGGUCAGCCCAGUGGUCUGUUGCAUGAGAUGAUUUACCCAAGCCCCUUUUGCAGGUGUACUCUGGCCACCCUUGUUUACUGAAGAUAGGGCACCUGGUCAGUAUCUGAUGGCAGAGCUUGCAGAUGCAUGACAGAGCAAACAAAAGUUGACUUGUAGAUGAUAAGAAUAGCGGUUAAUUUACAACAGCAACCAGUAACCCACAAAUGCAGGAGAGUGAAAUCUCUAUCGGGAAUUUUCUAUGAGUUCUGAUCAAUGUUUCCGUCAGGGUAAAACAGCUUACAGGUAAGGGCACUGACAAGCUGCAGGCCUUCCCAGAAAGCAUGUGAUGAAUGAAAUAUUUCUAUAAAUGACAUUUUAUGCGCUGGGGUUGUAGCUUAGGCUGGGGUUGUAGCUCAGUUGGUAGAGCGUUUGCCUUGCACGUGUGAGGCACUGGGUUCGAUCCUCAGCACCGCAUAAAAACAAAUAAAUAAAAUAAAGAUACUGUGUUCAUCUACAACUAAAAAACAAUUUUAAAAAAAUGACACUUUACGGAUACAAACUUAACCUAAGGGAGGCUGAGUGUUUCUUCGGAUGUGACAAUUCUUCCCACGCAGCCCUGAUUAAGGAAUAACAAAAGUACUCUAGCAUCAUUCUUGCUCUUGUUUUAUAAGUGGAAAGAGCAAAUCUUUAUGAAUUUUCAGGGGCCUUCUAGGAAGUUUCUUAGAAUGUUUUCAUUGAAUUUAUUUUAGUAUUUCUAGAUUCAAGAUCUGAGCUCAGGAAGGAAAAAUCAAAAGAAUUAUUAGAGAUAUGAGCAUUUAGUUCAUGGGUGCCCAGAAACAAGGCUUGCUCAUCUGUUAGUGACAAUAACAGGUUCUAAAGUGAACACAGAUGGCAGCAUAAUUUUCAAGAACUUUACUUUCACAAGCACAUGUAUGUGUGUGUGUGUGUGUGUGUAUGUGUUUUAGUAAUCAAAGAGUUAAUAAAAUCAGUGUAAAGCUGUUUUAGUCAGAUUUUUUCCUGCUGUGACCAAAAGACCUGACAAGAACUAUUUUAGAGGAGAGAAAGUUUAUUUGGGGGCUCACAGUUUCAGAAAGCAUGUGAUGAAUGAAAUAUUUCUAUAAAUGACAUUUUACGGGUCUCAGUCCAUAGAUGACUCGAUUCCUCUGGGCUUGAGGUGAAGCAGAACACUCACUGCAGACAAAAUAUAUACCCUAAAGACACACCCCCAAUGACCCACCUCCUCCAGCCACACCCUACCUGCCUAUAUUAGAUUCAGUUAAUUCUUAUCAGCAGAUUAAUGCACUGAUUAGGUUAAGACUCUCGUAACCUGAUCAUUUCACCUCUAAACUUUCUUGUAUUGUCUCACGCAUGAGAUUUUGGGGGACACUUUAUAUCUAAACUAUAACAAAAAGCACAGAAAUCUCUUGAUAAGACACAGACUCUGCUGUCUGGGCAAACUUCAUGGAUGGUAAAGAACAAUCUUUUGUACUGUAAUCAGUAAUCAGUAAGUCAAGCAGCAAACCCUUCAAAGUGAGUGAACUUUGCCCCGAUUUUAAUAUAUUUCAUGGUUUCUUUUCAGACCCAGAUGUUAUAAACCAAGGUAAAUAAAAUUCACUUUUCCUUUCUUUUUCCUCCUUCUUCACUGAAUUAUCUUAUAUUCUAGAAUUAAACUACUCUUGCCUUAGAGAACAAAACCGUGUACAUGGUUGUAUUUUUUGUUUCCAUUUCACCUAUAUGAUGAUUAUCUGAAGUCACCAACUUUCUCUUUCACAGAAAAAAACCGGGAAAGUGAGUAGAAAAUUGGGACCUGCCUACCGAGUAUUUCUGUAGACUCUAGAGUGCACUAACAUACACGUUCGUUCCCCAGUCACACACACCUGUCACGUCUGAUAGCACCAAACGCAAAUACCUUUGUCAACAUGACUCAAAGAUGAAAAUAUAUAGUUGAAGAACCAAACAAAGCCAAAAAUCUCCUAUGUGCCUGUGGUUGUCUUUCUUUGUCUCCAUUUCACCUAAAUGAUGGUUAUCUGAAGUAUAUAUAGUUUUGCUGCUUAUCCAAACUAUAUAUGCUUAAAAUAAUGCUAGUAAUCUGAUUGUAUCUUAUUUAGAAAUCUACCUAGAUAUCCACUGAUUAUCCAUUAAUUAGCUUCAUAUCCGUUCAAGGUUUUAAGUAACCUAAAGAUCUUGGAAAUUUCUUAAAUCUGAUAUACUAUACAACAGGUUUAUAAGUUUGUCUGAAUAAUAAUUCCAUUUAAAGUAAACAUCGUGGGCUGUGGCUGUGGCUCAUUGGUGGAGUGGUCACCUAGCAUGGAUGAGGCACUGGGUUCGAUCCUCAGCACCACAUAAAUGUGAAAUAAAGAUAUUGUGUUCACUUAAAACUAAAAAAUAAAUAAAUAAAAAAGUAAACACUGAUUUAAAAUGAUCAUAAACGUAACAUUAUAUAAGAGUAACGUUAACUUCUUGGUCAGUAUAUUAUUUCAGAUGUUCAGAUUAAGUGUUAUCUUUCAUAAAGGUUCAAACCAAACAAAAUACUUUUAUUAUACUUAAUUUUAUUACUUUUAUUAUACUUAAUACUAAUAAAGAGAAGGUCUACUUGUUUUUUAAAAGACUUGUAAGCUAUUUUCUUUCUUCUUUAUUCGUUUUAAUAUAUUUAUAUUUUCAACUGACACAUAAUUUUUGGUAUGAUGUGAAGUUUCAGUACAUUUAUAUAAUGUUUAAUGAUCAGAUCAAGAUGACUGGCAUACCCAUCAUUUUGAACUCUGUGUGGCUUUUUAUUAUUUUACUUUUUAGUGUUG
rnacentral:lncRNA from 1 species